CAGUAGGGAAUCUUCGGCAAUGGACGAAAGUCUGACCGAGCAACGCCGCGUGAGUGAAGAAGGUUUUCGGAUCGUAAAACUCUGUUGGUAGAGAAGAACGUUGGUGAGAGUGGAAAGCUCAUCAAGUGACGGUAACUACCCAGAAAGGGACGGCUAACUACGUACCAG
rnacentral:rRNA from 1 species